GGAGAGAUGUCCGAGAGGCUUAUGGUAGCGGUCUCGAAAACCGUUGUGCAAGAUGUCUUGUACCGUGGGUUCAAAUCCCACUCUCUCCG
rnacentral:tRNA from 1 species